rnacentral:rRNA from 1 species
GAUGAACGCUGGCGGCGUGCCUAAUACAUGCAAGUCGAGCGCGAGAAUGAGGAGCUUGCUCCUCAUGAUCGAGCGGCGGACGGGUGAGUAACACGUAGGCAACCUACCCUUGAGAUUGGGAUAACUACCGGAAACGGUAGCUAAUACCGGAUACGACUUUUCCACACAAGUGGAAUUGUUAAAAGGCGGAUUUAUCUGCCGCUCAUGGAUGGGCCUGCGGUGCAUUAGCUAGUUGGUGAGGUAGUGGCUCACCAAGGCGACGAUGCAUAGCCGACCUGAGAGGGUGAUCGGCCACACUGGGACUGAGACACGGCCCAGACUCCUACGGGAGGCAGCAGUAGGGAAUCUUCCGCAAUGGACGCAAGUCUGACGGAGCAACGCCGCGUGAGUGACGAAGGGUUUCGGCUCGUAAAACUCUGUUGUUAAGGAAGAACACUUGAGGUAGUAACUGGCCUUGAGAUGACGGUACUUAACCAGAAAGCCACGGCUAACUACGUGCCAGCCGCCGCCGUAA